GCAAAAGUUUUCUAGGGUUCCGUAGCUGCUUGCUAGACUGGUCCAAGGGAAAACGCACAUGGAUCUGUGUAACACGGAGGGACAAAAGCCCGGGAGAU
rnacentral:sRNA from 2 species